AGAAUCAACGCUGGCGGCGUGCCUAACACAUGCAAGUCGCACGAGAAAGGGGAGCAAUCCCUGAGUAAAGUGGCGCACGGGUGAGUAACACGUGAAUCAUCUACCUCCGAGUGGGGAAUAACCUAGAGAAAUCUGGGCUAAUACCGCAUAAUACCUUCGGGUCAAAGGAGCAAUUCGCUUAAGGAGGGGGUCGCGGCCGAUUAGUUAGUUGGCGGGGUAAUGGCCCACCAAGACUAUGAUCGGUA
rnacentral:rRNA from 1 species